rnacentral:rRNA from 1 species
GACUGCAAUGCAGUCGAGCGGUAAGGCCAUUUCGGGGGUACACGAGCGGCGAACGGGUGAGUAACACGUGGGUGACCUGCCCUCCACUCUGGGAUAAGCCCGGGAAACUGGGUCUAAUACCGGAUAGGACCUCUGACCGCAUGGUUGGGGGUGGAAAGUUUUUUCGGUGGGGGAUGGGCCCGCGGCCUAUCAGCUUGUUGGUGGGGUGAUGGCCUACCAAGGCGGUGACGGGUAGCCGGCCUGAGAGGGCGACCGGCCACACUGGGACUGAGACACGUCCCAGACUCCUACGGGAGGCAGCAGUGGGGAAUAUUGCGCAAUGGGCGGAAGCCUGACGCAGCGACGCCGCGUGGGGGAUGACGGCCUUCGGGUUGUAAACCUCUUUCGCCAGGGACGAAGCUAACGUGACGGUACCUGGAGAAGAAGCACCGGCCAACUACGUGCCAGCAGCCGCGGUAACACGUAGGGUGCGAGCGUUGUCCGGAAUUAUUGGGCGUAAAGAGCUCGUAGGCGGUGUGUCGCGUCGAUCGUGAAAACUUGGGGCUUAACUCUGAGCGUGCGGUCGAUACGGGCAUCACUUGAGUUCGGCAGGGGAGACUGGAAUUCCUGGUGUAGCGGUGAAAUGCGCAGAUAUCAGGAGGAACACCGGUGGCGAAGGCGGGUCUCUGGGCCGAUACUGACGCUGAGGAGCGAAAGCAUGGGGAGCGAACAGGAUUAGAUACCCUGGUAGUCCAUGCCGUAAACGUUGGGCGCUAGGUGUGGGGACCAUUCCACGGUUUCUGUGCCGCAGCUAACGCAUUAAGCGCCCCGCCUGGGGAGUACGGCCGCAAGGCUAAAACUCAAAGGAAUUGACGGGGGCCCGCACAAGCGGCGGAGCAUGUGGAUUAAUUCGAUGCAACGCGAAGAACCUUACCUGGGUUUGACAUGCACCAGAUCGCCUGAGAGAUCAGGUUUCCCUUGUGGUUGGUGUGCAGGUGGUGCAUGGCUGUCGUCAGCUCGUGUCGUGAGAUGUUGGGUUAAGUCCCGCAACGAGCGCAACCCUUGUUCCAUGUUGCCAGCACGUAAUGGUGGGGACUCAUGGGAGACUGCCGGGGUCAACUCGGAGGAAGGUGGGGAUGACGUCAAGUCAUCAUGCCCCUUAUGUCCAGGGCUUCACACAUGCUACAAUGGCUCAUACAGAGGGCUGCGAGACCGUGAGGUGGAGCGAAUCCCUUAAAGUGAGUCUCAGUUCGGAUCGGGGUCUGCAACUCGACCCCGUGAAGUUGGAGUCGCUAGUAAUCGCAGAUCAGCAACGCUGCGGUGAAUACGUUCCCGGGCCUUGUACACACCGCCCGUCACGUCACGAAAGUUGGUAACACCCGAAGCCGGCCGUACCAACCCCUUGUGGGAGGGAGUAUUGUAG